rnacentral:rRNA from 1 species
GACGAACGCUGGCGGCGUGCCUAAUACGUGCAAGUCGAGCGGACUGAUUAAGAGCUUGCUCUUAUGACGUUAGAGGCGGACGGGUGAGUAACACGUGUGCAACCUGCUCUGUAGAUCGGGAUAACAACGAGAAAUCGGUGCUAAUACCGUGUAAUAUCUGACAUCACAUGGUCGUAGGUUAAAAGUUGGCUCCGGCUAUCACUACAGCGUGGGAUCGCGGGGCAUUAGGUAGUUGGUCAGGCAAUGGCUUACCCAGGCGACGAUGCUUAGCCGACCUGGGGUGGUGGGAGGCCACACCGGGACUGGGACACGGCCCCGACGGCACCGGGAGGCAGCAGUAGGGAAUCCUCCGGACUGGACGGAAGUCUGACGGAGCAACGCCGGGUGAGUGAUGAAGGGUUUCGGCUCGUGAAGCUCUGGUGUUAGGGUAGAAACAGUACCGAACGAACUAGGACGGGACCUUGACGGUACCUAACCAGAAAGCAACGGCUAACUACGUG